rnacentral:misc_RNA from 1 species
UUGAUUGAUUUCCUUUAAACUCCGACGCGAAAACGCAGGGUUUGUGUGGUCCGUUGGGGGCCCCGGCGCGGGGUCCGGGUCGCCCCCAAGGCAACAGAGUUGGUCACUUCAAAGGGUUGGAGGUCGGGCGCGAGGCCCUCGCUCGGUAAUGAUCCCUCCGCAGGUUCACCUACGGAGA